rnacentral:rRNA from 1 species
AGGAUAAACGCUGGCGGCGUGCCUAACACAUGCAAGUCGAACGCGCUUGCUAUCCGCGAGGAGGGUGAGCGAGUGGCGGACGGGUGAGGAACACGUGGGUGACCUACCUUUCAGUGAGGGAUACCGGCGAGAAAUUGCCGACAAGACCGCAUACGCUUCUCUUUUCAAGGGGAGAAGGAAAGCUUUUCGCAAGAGAGGCGCUGGGAGAUGGGCCUGCGGCCGAUUAGCUAGCUGGUGGGGUAAUGGCCUACCAGGGCGACGAUCGGUAGCUGGUCUGAGAGGACGAUCAGCCACACUGGGAUUGAGAACGGCCCAGACUCCUACGGGGGGCAGCAGUGAGGAAUUUUUCGGCAAUGGGGGCAACCCUGACCGAGCAACGCCGCGUGCAGGACGACGGCCUUCGGGUUGUAAACUGCUUUUCUCUGGGACGAGCAAAGACGGUACCAGAGGAAGAAGCCCGGCUAACUACGUGCCAGCAGCCGCGGU